GAUCUCCCCCGAGCAGCUGCUGCCCGGCGCCUGGCUGGGCUUCUGAUGGCCCUCCUGGGUGGCCCUAGAUAAUCCUAGACAACUCCUAGACAGUCCUAGCUGGCCCUAAAUGAUCCUAGACAAGCCCUAGGUGCUCCUUGACAAGCUCCAGGUGGUCCUGGUGGUCUUAGACAAGCUCUAGGUAGUCCUGAACAGUCCUAGGUAGUCCUAAACAAGCUCCAGGUGGUCCUAGGUGGCCCUAGACA